GCCGAGGUAGCUCAGUCGGUAGAGCAUACGACUGAAAAUCGUAGUGUCGGGAGUUCGAUUCUCCCCCUCGGCA
rnacentral:tRNA from 1 species